UACAGGGGGGGCAAGCGUUGUUCGGAAUUACUGGGCGUAAAGGGCUUGUAGGUGGCCAACUAAGUCACACGUGAAAUCCCCAGGCUUAACCUGGGAACUGCGUGUGAUACUGGAUGGCUUGAAUCCGGGAGAGGGAUGCGGAAUUCCAGGUGUAGCGGUGAAAUGCGUAGAUAUCUGGAGGAACACCGGUGGCGAAGGCGGCAUCCUGGACCGGUACUGACGCUGAGACGCGAAAGCGUGGGGAGCGAACAGG
rnacentral:rRNA from 1 species